UGUAUUUGGUUUUGUACUGAUAUGCGUUUUGACUUUUUAGGUUAAAGUAAACUGUAU
rnacentral:tRNA from 1 species